UGCCAGACUCCUACGGGAGGCAGCAGUCGGGAAUAUUGCGCAAUGGAGGAAACUCUGACGCAGUGACGCCGCGUAUAGGAAGAAGGUUUUCGGAUUGUAAACUAUUGUCGUGAGGGAAGAAAUUGACAGUACCUCAGGAGGAAGCUCCGGCUAACUAUGUGCCAGCAGCCGCGGUAAUACAUAGGGAGCAAGCGUUAUCCGGAUUUAUUGGGUUUAAAGGGUGCGUAGGCGGAAUAUCAAGUCAGCGGUAAAAAUUCGGGGCUCAACCCCGGCGUGCCGUUGAAACUGAUGUUCUUGAGUGGGCGAGAAGUAUGCGGAAUGCGUGGUGUAGCGGUGAAAUGCAUAGAUAUCACGCAGAACCCCGAUUGCGAAGGCAGCGUACCGGCGCCCAACUGACGCUGAAGCACGAAAGCGUGGGUAUCGAACAGGAUUAGAUACCCUUGUACC
rnacentral:rRNA from 1 species